GGGUGAUCCGAAUUCGACCAAAUAGAAUUGGAUCUCGGAUUGGAUCAUGAUCCAAUCCAUUUGCACCCCUAGUAGAAUUCACGCCCUUCAAAAUGUUAAGCAGAAAUGCCCAAGAUUUUCAUGCUCUGAUCAUGGCUUUAUUUGUGGGGAAGAAAUCAGAAACUGCUUUUGGAAGGGUACAUACUCCUUGGGCUGACAUGUGUGGCAACAUGGGUUGAGUCCGAGAGUGGCCUCUUUGUAGUUUGUGGCUUUGUGUUAAAAGAAAUGCCAAAGAUUUACGGGGCGUUUGGCAAAUCUUUGUAAGUGGUCUUUCAAGCUUUUUAAAGCUUAGAAGACCUGAUUUUGAGCUUUUUCGUUUGGUAACCAAAAGACAGGAAGCCGAAAAGAUUGAGAAAGCUCAGAUUUGUCUUAAAUCUGAAAGCUUCAGGUCUUUUGAGCAUAUGGAUCUUUUUGUUUGAGAAAGGGCAUUCAAAAAAUCCUUUCAGAUCCAAACCUCUACUCGUACCAGGUAUGUAGUCCUGGUACCUCGGCUAGGCUAAAUGAAUCUGCACCAGGUAUGUAGUCCUCCUUCCUCUUCUUCCUUUUUUUCCCCUUAAGUUUUUUCUUUCUUCUUUGAUCCAAACUUCUACUUGUACCUCGGUUCCUUUCAGAUCUGACCCUCCCCUCUCUCUCACUUUCUCUGUCUGAAGCUGGGAAAUCCGAUUUAAAACCAGUUGAAUUUUGUCAAAAUGAAUGUUUGCAGAAUGCAGAAGAGGGCAAUUUGUAGAACAAUUUCAUCAAAAUGAUCUCCAGAUUAACAGCUGCAGCGUGAGGAAACCAAACCAAAACAUUCAACAUUCUUAGUGGCUGCAACAUGAUUGUGGGACCUCUUGCGCAGUGUUGAUUCAAUCUAAUGAUCGUGUUCCAGAUUUGGCACUCUUGGCUAUCGGCGCUUAUGAAUUGGUUCCAAUUCAAUAACCAUUUUAUUCAAUUUUAGUGUUUUUUUCUCAACUUCGGAAAAUUUUAUGAGUUUAUACAUUAGGGACAAUAAUAGGUGGGGGAAUCUAUCACAAUUCAAGGGGGUAUUAUAGUACAGAUGGGGUUUGGGACAAUACAUUCAAAAAAUCAAUAUUUUUUUGGUGGGGGCGGGGAGCAAACCAUAAAUUUUUCUUUUUUUUGUAAUUACAUGAAUUGGAUUGUUUGUAACGAAGUAUUUCUCAAAAGAAGAAUUCAUAUUAAACUAA